rnacentral:rRNA from 1 species
AUUGAACACUGGCGGCAGGCCUAACACAUGCAAGUCGAGCGGAUGAGAGGAGCUUGCUUCUUGAUUCAGCGGCGGACGGGUGAGUAAUGCCUAGGAAUCUGCCUGGUAGUGGGGGACAACGUUUCGAAAGGAACGCUAAUACCGCAUACGUCCUACGGGAGAAAGCAGGGGACCUUCGGGCCUUGCGCUAUAAGAUGAGCCUAGGUCGGAUUAGCUAGUUGGUGAGGUAAUGGCUCACCAAGGCGACGAUCCGUAACUGGUCUGAGAGGAUGAUCAGUCACACUGGAGCUGAGACACGGUCCAGACUCCUACGGGAGGCAGCAGUGGGGAAUAUUGGACAAUGGGCGAAAGCCUGAUCCAGCCAUGCCGCGUGUGUGAAGAAGGUCUUCGGAUUGUAAAGCACUUUAAGUUGGGAGGAAGGGUUGUACGUUAAUACCGUGCAAUUUUGACGUUACCGACAGAAUAAGCACCGGCUAACUCUGUGCCAGCCGCCGCUGUAACAC